UACAGCCACAUCUCGUAAAAAACAGGGGUUUCUGUACGAUCACCGAAGUUAAGCAACGUCGAGCCUGGUCAGUACUAAGAUACGUGACCGCUUGGAAAUACCAGGUGCUGUAA